CAUUAUAGAUUUAGGGUUUCCUUCUUUUGAAUCUCACAUAAGUGAAAUCAUGUUGUACCUUCCUUUGUGUCCUGCUUCUGUGACUCGGUCUGUGUUUGUAAGAUUAGUCCUUGUUGUGAUAUGGACUUUAGCUCCUCAUCUCUGAUAGUGCUGUUUGAUCAACUGAACAUUCCACAGUGUAUUUGUCUGUCCUACUGUUGAUUUUCUUCCUUCUUGGUUUUUAAAUAAUUCAAUCAACAUCACAAUGAACUUGUUGUUCAUGUUUCAGGUGCGCAUAUGCGUGAGUUUCUCCAGGGACUAGAACUGGGAAGGGAGUUUCUCAAUCAUAAGAUCCUGAAAGAAAGAAGAAGGAGCCAGAGCAAGGGAAAAUGGAAAGCAAAUAGAAAGCCAUAAGACAAGGCUCACCCUUGACAGGCGUACUCAGUCGGCCUGUUGGCCCGUCCCCACAGAGGCGGUGUAGAGACACACACUCCAGGGAGGGAAGGAGAGGAAACUUAUGUAUCUCUUGGCUCCUUCCUAUCGCCUAUCUAGUCAAACUUGCCCACUGGGGAUUUAACUCUUCUGAACUUCACUUGGAGUUACCUGGUCUGUACACUGGGGCAUAAAGUGCCAACUGAGUAGGAGAAGACAGAGUGUGGGCAGUGGCCUCCACCCACAGAUGCACAGAGUUGGCUGUUACUUGGCAAGGUCUGCAGAGGAGUAAGAAGCUGCCUCCAGGAGACAGAUGAGACACACCCUCGGUGCCUAGCAGAUGGCCUGGUUUACAGGGCUACUCAAUAAAGAACUGUCAGUGGAUGGCACCAAAGGCCCCUGGAGCUGGAAUGGACCUGGAGAGCGUAUCAACCAGUUUUCUCCAAUAUGUCAGAAAGCAGUAAUGCCCAGAGAGGCCAACCCAAGUGUAACGGGAUGCAAAGAUGGGAAACAAGGCCUAAGAAACAAUGAAAGAUGUGCAACCUCAUUAAUAUUCCAGGGUGCACAAUGUAAAAAACACAAUGCUAUGCUCACCUUAAUUAAGCAAUAAUUUAAAGUUUUGGAGAGGAUCUUGGAAGAAACCCACGUGUGCACAAAGAUUACAUGCAGGUGUCAACUCGCCAGCAGAUAUUUAUCAUGCACCUGCAGUGUGAUCUCCAGAGAAGAAGAGAGCCAUAAACAAAAUUCACCUCAGCCCCUUCCUUCACACAGCCUACCUUCUACUUGAAGAGACAGGGUCUCUCUGGUGGCGAUGGCUCUGUGGAAAAUAGACUGGAAGAAGGACAAGGUUGGAAAUGAGAAAGGGAGCAUCGCAGUACUUCAGAUUUAACCCAAGGCCCUCACACUGAGUUAUAUCCGGGUCCCUUUUUCAUUAAGUUGUUCAGUUGCCCGGGCUGGGCUUGAAUUUACGAUCCUUCCAUCUCAGCCUCUUGAUACUGGGA